GGUCUCACUCUGUCACCCAGACUGGAGUGCAAUGAUGCAAUCACAGGUCACUGCAGCCUUGACCUGCUGAACUCAAGCAAUCCUCCCAUCUCAGCCUCCUGAGUAGCUGGGACUUUAGGCAUGCGCCACCACACCCAGGUAAAUCAUCAUGUUACCUCCAGAAUUCUACUCCUCCAUGCAGCUUCUCUGUGCAUAAAAUCCUUGGAUAGAAGAAAUGUCUGCUGGCCUAGAACUGAUUUUAACACUGAAAAUAUUAAGGCCACAUAACACAAGGCUGGGCAGGUGCAUAUCUCACCCAAAGCAUCUGCUUUUCUGUAAGUAGCCAACCCAUGUUAUCAAGGGCCCAUACAAUCUUUACAGACCACUUUCAGGUAAAAGCAUAUUGUUUUCAAAGGCUACUUAGAACUGAAACUACUUGGUUCUAUUCCAAGGUACAACCUCAGCCAAGUGAUUUGCUUAAUGGGAAUUGCCAAACAUAAAAAGAUCAAAUAACAAAUUUCAUUAAGUUCAAGAAUCUAUGACUCCUACAACUCAGUAGUUAAAGAAAUAACAAAUAAUUCAAUUUAAAAAUGGGUUAAGAAGUUGAAUGGACAUUUCUCCAAAGAAAACGUACAUAUGAUUAAUGGGUAAACAUAUAUAUUUUUAAAUGGUCAAUGUCACUAAUCAUCAGGGAAACACAAAUUGAAAUCACAAUAAGAUAUUACAUCAUACCUGUCAGGAUGCCUAUUAUCAAUGGAACCAAAACAACAAGUGUUGAUAUGGAUAUAGAGAAACUAAAACCUUUGUACACUGUUAGUGUGGGUGCAAAAUGAUGCAGCCACUGUAUUAAACAGUGUAGAGAUUCCUCAAAAAAUUGAAACUAGAACUACCAUAGGAUACAGCAAUCACACUUCUGAUAUUUCUCCAAAGGAAUGUAAAUCAGGAUCUUAAAGAGAUAUUAGCACUCCCAUGUUCACUGUGAUACUGUUCACAAUAGACAAGAUGUGAAGCCAACCUAUUGACAGAUGAAUAAAGAAAAUGUGGUAUAUGCAAACAAUGGAAUAUUAUUCAGCCUUUAGAAAGAAGGAAAUCCUGCAACAUAUGACAAUAUGGAUGAACCUGGAGGGCGUGAAACUAACUAAAUAAACCAGUCACAGAAAAACAAA